rnacentral:sRNA from 1 species
ACACCCAUUUUAUUGCUGUUAUAGGUUUUAACCGAGCUUAGCGUUGUUCAUUUUUUUUCACAACAGUCAUGUAAAAAAUUGAACACACCCGACUGAGCACCCCGAAAUACAAGGGCCUCACCAGGACUUAACUGCCCUGUAACGCCCUGAAAAUGGUCAUAACGCCCCAAUUAGGGGCAA